rnacentral:tRNA from 1 species
ACGGGCGUGGUGAAAUUGGUAGACGCGCGGGAUUUAGGUUCCCGUGUCUUAUGACAUGAGAGUUCGAGUCUCUCCGCCCGUA